rnacentral:lncRNA from 1 species
AUAUGAGUUGAUUUCCCUCUUGAGGUUUGAUUGAUACCACACGAUGCUAGAUAUAUUUUUUGUGCUACAUAUAAAAAAGCAUGUGUAUGGUAUAGAAGUGAAGCAUCACUCCUUAUUCCUGGAUUUGCUGGCCAAAACCAGUUUCUUAUUACACAGUAAAAAAAAAAUAUUGUUUGGAGCUUAUGGUUAUAUACAUUGAUCUGACAUCAUUGGCAAAGGAUAUGGCCAUAUGGGACCAUGAAGA